CAAGGUUCCUUCUGUAGAUGACUACUCUUCUUUUAGUAAAUAUCAAAGUUAACAUGGUGGUUUGAGUUGUUGAGACGUAAAUAACUCACAUCAUAGUAUCUGUCGAGAAGGGUCUGUAGUUGCUCUUUUCUUUCUAAAACGGUGGUUUCUGUGACCAGAAAUGGCUAUCUUACGUGAUGAACUGUAGAACAAGCUACAAGAUCCAAAAGCAACACCGAUGUUUCUUCCUCUAGAAUUUGAAAGGCAUCACAUGUGAUUUUUCCACUGAAUCGGACCUUGGCAGAGGUGGAUAUGGAGUGGUUUACAAGAUGAAUCUCUGGACCUUGAGUGGAAUAUGAGAUACGAGAUAAUCAAGGCAAUUUGCAGUGGUUUGUGUUUCCUUCAGGAAGAAUACCGUAUCCUUCAUCUGGACCUUAAGCCAGAAAAUAUAUUGAUGGACUUUAUGAUGAUGCCGAAAAUCGCGGAUUUUGGUUUGUCGAGUCUCUUUGGUGUGCAGCAAAUGCGAAUCUUCACUGAUAAUCCUGCAGGAAACAUGAAUAUAUGGCACCAGAAUACUUACUUCAAAGUGUAAUCUCAAGCAAGGCAGAUAUCUUCAGUCUGGGUGUUAUAAUCACAGAGAUUAUCACAGGUUGUACAGCCCCCACAGUACUGCUACAUCUUGUCAGCAUUUCAUAGAGAAUCUAACAUGAACUAUUCUAACCUUUGCAUCUAUAUCAUCAUUUUAGCUUUACCGUUGCAAACUUGUAGGUAUUUAGAAGUUGGAGGAACAAAUUCAAAUCAACAUCGAAGUAUAUAUCAAUGGAAAAAUAUAGCCAACAAGUAGAACUAUGCAUCGUCAUAGCCAUAGCAUGUGUGGACCCUGCUAUGGAGAAAAGACCUACAGCAAAGGAUAUAAUCCAAGUGCUUAGUGCAGCAGACUGGGUAUGGGUGUUGGCCUGCUGCGUACCCGUCUGGGUGUUGGCAAAAAAGGAAAGAAAAGAAAAAGAGGAUGAAAACAAAAAAAAGGCAGAAAAGAAGAACAAAAAAGGCAAAAAAAAACAUAGUAUAGCAAAGAAAACCAAGAAAGAAAUUAGAAAACCAAAGAGAGAGAAAAGAAAACAAAAAACAAGAUAAAAA